rnacentral:misc_RNA from 1 species
AAGUCGUAACAAGGUUUCCGUAGGUGAACCUGCGGAAGGAUCAUUAACACGUGUAUACUCACGUAUUAAACUAAACGCGAAUUUGUUGUUAUAAGCCUAUUAUUAGAUUCAAGCUGACUGUUUGGGAAUGGUGUGAUUACGGUGCUUCGCGCAUAGGGUCUAACUAACGGUCUUAGCGUGCUUGACACGCGGUUUGUUCUAAUAAUAGUAGAUACAAUUUCGGCUGCUUAUUAAGCCUGCACCUUGGCUUGCAGUCGAAGUGAAUAUUACUCAGUAAUGUUGGUUGAGUUUAUAUAGAUGUCGUAUAUUACUAAUACGAAACAACUCUUAGCAACGGAUAUCUUGGUUCUC